rnacentral:rRNA from 1 species
AGAGAGAGACAUGCGCGCAUAUCAAUAAGCGGAGGAAAAGAAACUAACAAGGAUUCCCCUAGUAACGGCGAGUGAAGCGGGAAGAGCUCAAAUUUGAAAUCUUAAAGGGUUUCCCUUUACGAAUUGUAGUUUAAAGAAGUGUUUUCUGUUGAGGUUUUGGUAAAAGUUCUUUGGAAUAGGACAUCAUAGAGGGUGAGAAUCCCGUAUUUGACCUUUACUUUCAACUUUGUGAUACACUUUCAAAGAGUCGGAUUGUUUGGGAAUGCAGUCCAAAAUGGGUGGUAAAUUUCAUCUAAAGCUAAAUAUUGGCGAGAGACCGAUAGCGGACAAGUACCGUGAGGGAAAGAUGAAAAGAACUUUGAAAAGAGAGUUAAACAGUACGUGAAAUUGUCAAAAGGGAAGCGUUUGACACCAGUGUUGUUUUUCUGAAAAUCAAUUAAAGAACUGUUUAUGCUAAGUUGUUUAGACUUUAUCAGCUAACUGUUUAGUUUUGAGCUUUUCUUUAAUGCACUUUUCAGUUAACAAGUCAACAUCAAUUUCUUUUGCUGUAAAAAAGCUUGAGGAAGGUGGCUUGAGAUUCGUCUUAAGUGUUUAUAGCCUCUUGCCUAUGCAGUCGGAGAGAUUGAGGUCUGCAGCGUAGAUCCUUCGGGGCUAAAUGCAUUUGUGCUAAGUUAUAGCAUUUUAUAGACAACUUGUUGACUAUGAUUUGUCUUGUAGCUUACUCGCUUAUGUUAUUUUACCUACGCUUAGGAUGUUGACGCAUGAGAUAUACGC